UAUUAAAAAUUCCAUCUAUUUCUUUUGUUAAAAACUGGUGUAGCUGACAAAAUAACCAAACAAAUACACGUAAUGUGUCACGUGUACCUCUUGUUGACGAACAAGGAGCAAUUUUUAACAGUAUAAAUAGAUAAAAUUUUUAACA
rfam:Gossypium raimondii Chr04_contig_104, whole genome shotgun sequence.